rnacentral:rRNA from 1 species
GACGAACGCUGGCGGCGUGCUUAACACAUGCAAGUCGAGCGGUAAGGCCCUUUCGGGGGUACACGAGCGGCGAACGGGUGAGUAACACGUGGGUGACCUGCCCUCAGCUCUGGGAUAAGCCUGGGAAACCGGGUCUAACACCGGAUAUGACUCCAUGACGCAUGUUGUGGGGUGGAAAGCCUUGUGCGGCUGAGGAUGGGCCCGCGGCCUAUCAGCUUGUUGGUGGGGUGAUGGCCUACCAAGGCGACGACGGGUAGCCGGCCUGAGAGGGCGACCGGCCACACUGGGACUGAGACACGGCCCAGACUCCUACGGGAGGCAGCAGGUGGGGAAUCUUGCGCAAUGGGCGAAAGCCUGACGCAGCGACGCCGCGUGA